rnacentral:lncRNA from 1 species
CACCGUGUAGCGGGGUGAGACACCAGGGGCCUACUCUCCUUCUCAUCAGCCCUGGACCACACUGCCAGACAGAGUGAUUACAGUCUAGAUAAAAGAUAGAUGGAUUUUGAGAAUUUCCUUUGUGGCUCAGUGGAAACAGACGUGACUUGUAUCCAGGAGGGUGCAGGCUCUAUCCCUGGCCUCUCUCAGUGGGUCAGGGAUGCGGUGUUGCUGUGGCUGUGGUGUAGGCCGGCAGCUGCAGCUCCAAGUGGAUCGCUAGCCUGGGAACUUCCAUGUGCGGAAGGUGUGGCCCUAAAAAGCAAAAAACAAAAAACAAAAAACAAAAAGAUAGAUGGGCUUUAAGCCAUACAAAGGAACCCUGCAAAAUCAAAAUUAAUGCAUGUUUAAAGUCUCCAAAAAUGUACGAUAAUACCUGCACAACUCAACUCAGAGAUCUGGUGCAUAUUCGCUCUCUGAUGGCACUCUGCCGAAGGCCUGUAAGUGUCCUGAGCCCCCUUAGAGUUCUUUAAAAGGGCCCGGAAUAAGCACCCCAAUGCCACAGUACUUGAGCUGCAGGCCAGCAUGUUUCAUGCCUGAGGCCUCAAAAACACAGGUCAGGGCAUAGGACCCAGCUACUGUCACAGGGAAAUCAGUGCAGCUCAUAGGAGGAUGUACAGUUUCUGAAAGCUCCUGUAAUCGUUGUGACUUUGCAAUUUGAUGAGAGUCUCUCUUCUGUCUUCUAAACAUGUGCCAGUUCACAGCCCCAAUUCUCAUUUCCCUCCUGCAUUCCCUUUGCUUGUAGCAUCAGCCGAAUUCAGCUCCCUUGGUUCUCUUUAGCUGUAGGUCCUUUAGGAUCUGGUCAGUCUGCAUGUAGGGGCUUGAUAGCAGCUUCUGAGCCGGCUGGGCCAUCCUGGACUAGUGCUGAGCUGGGUUAGGAAGGAAGAGGGUUGUUGGGGUAAUUGCUGUGAAGGUUCAGGGGAGGGAGCAGGAGGGGGGGUUGGAGUGCUAUCAGGCUGUGGUGGGUGAGAAUGGCCAGGCCUUUGAUGGCCUUGGUAGGUCAUUGGCAGGGGCCCACUUCACAGGGAACAUGGCUGGGCUUCCAACCUGAGGGGGACCCUGAAGAAGCCCAUAGCUAGUGGUGUCAGACGCACACACUCCUCCAACUGGACAAGGAGUCACUUCUAGAAGGUCCGUCUGAGUGCAUCUCUGGGGCAGGGACCACUUCCUUGGAACUUUGAUGAAUGCCUGCUUGGUUGGCUGCCAUGUCGGUUGGUGAAAGGCAGAGAUUUGCAGGUGAAGGAUGGUGUUUCAGGACAUAAGAUGCCCACAUCUGGAACCAGACCCUGGUUGGAGAUCUCACCACCCCACCUGCCCCCUGCGCUCUUGCUUGAGCUUCCUUGGCAGGGACUUUUCCAGGCAGGUUUUGAUGGAGCGCCGUAGACCUCGUGCUUCCGAGGAUGUAGAGUCCAAUGGGAGCCGCUAAGAUCCAAGGGUUCCUCAAGGUGGAGUCUCAGUUCCUGAAAGCAGUGACCUGGCAGCUGGGAGAUGACAGUGGCAUCUCUGUGACAUCUAAGGCACCAGGCGGGUGCUGUCCCACUGAGAAGUCAGCCCUCACAGGGGCUAGCAGCACAUGUGCUGUUUUGAUGGGUCCAAGCCAGGCUAACGGUCAGGGAUUCGCCUCCAGAACCGCGUUCUCUGGGACCUGCGCUGGUUCCAUCAUUCCCAACUCAGAGGAGGGUCGCCGGCUCCCAUAGCUGUGGAGAGCUUUUCUGAUGAUGAUUUAUUAUGGGGUGGCAUCUUCAAAACUUCCCUCUCAAAAGGACAGCUUUAGAAGGCUUCAGAGCAACUUCUAAAUAUUUCAACACGCCCCGCCUCCCUGUUUCAACUUUUGCCUGCUCAGGCUGAAAGCGCUUAAGAUUUAUAAAUCUGGUCAAAGAAUGCUCUGGUGUUAACAACUCUCUAGAAAAAGGUAAUUAAAAAUAGCAUUAAUUUGCACAAUGUAAUCAUUAUGGCAUGAAGCAUUGCGGAAGAUUAAAAUGAUUUCACCAGGGCAAUGAAAGGAUUUUAUGAUUAGAAGGAUGUUAAUUUUCCACAGUGAUUUUCCAAAACGCAGGUCCUGCUUUGUCAAAUCGCCUCUCCUUCCAGAACGGUCUCUGACUGUGGAGGCCGUUACUCAGGGCCCAUCAUGAAACUUUGGAAUUCUGAAAAAUGGAAAGCGGAUAAGGUAGGAAGGAAAACGUAAAUGUCUGCUUUUCUUGGUUCCUUAACUACCACACAUUCAGAGGAAAGCCGGUCUGUUGAGCCUCCUGACAAAUUACCGCAUUUUAUUUGCCUUCAGGGCCUGGAGCCCAAGACUUUUCCCACAGAGCUUGUCUUUCUUUGACUCUCAAUCCCACUCAGAGUUUAUGGUCCUGCUUUUGUGUAAUGUUAGCAAAUGCGGUGGCAUCUGCCAGGCUGAAGGGGGGGUCGUUCCUGGAGGCUCCAUUUAAAGGUUGCCGCAGGUCUUAGGGUCCUUGGAGAAGAAAGCCCGGAGGAGGGGCGCUCUUUCACAGUUGAUGUUGGCCAAAGGCGAAGCUGGAGAGCGGUGUAUCGAAUGACAGCCCUUUGUGUCAGAAUAGUUUCAGUUAAGGGUCCUGCUCAUUUAGCAGGAAAACCCUAUUUGUAGCAUGUUGGCUUCCACAAGCCUGUAUUUGGUCUUCAUUCACUGUUGAAUAGGCACGUGGUGCAUGUGUGUGUGGGGUGUGUGUGUGUGUGUUGGAUGUGUGGUUUGUGUGCUGUAUUUGCUUGUGAGUUGUAUUGUGGUGUGUUUGUGUGUGUGUGUCUUUUCUAUCUGGACGCAUCACCCAGUGACCCCAGAUUCUUCCACUCUGAGGGAAGGAAUGGGCAGAAAGAAAGUGUGUCCGUUUCCUGCAGCUGCUGUUAACAAAUGACCACACUCUGUGUGGCAUAAAAUAGAAGAAAUUUAUCCUCUCGGUUCCGGGGCCCAGAGGUUGGAAAUCAAGGGCCCCUGGCCGUGCCCCUCAGGACGCUCUGGGGAGGAAGCCCUUCUCGGCCCUGCUGGCUUUGGGUGGUUAUGGGUGGUGCUUUGCUCGGUUGCAUCCCCCCAGUCUCUGCCAGCAUCGCCCCACGGUCCUUCCCCGUGAGCAUCUGCUCUGUUCUGUGCCCAGACCUCCCCUCCUGUAAGGACGUCAGUCACUGGGUCAGGGCCACCCUCCGCCAGGUUGACCUCAUCUUAACUUGCUUUUAUCCAUAGACUCUAGUUCUGCGUAAGGUCACGUUCAAUGACACGGGGUGAGGAUUUGAACGUACCUUUUGGGGGAACACAACUCAACCCACAACCAAAGGGCAGGCAUGGAACUAAAAGAUGGCUGAUUGAGGGGACAGGAAACCAACGAACAAGCCAGCCGACAUGCGAACAAAAUCGCUGGACCAGACUCUGGAGGCUGGGCUCUGGGUCUUAGUGCACCUGCCCUCCCCGAGUCACUGACCGUGAUGCUUCCCUCUUCAAGAGGGUUCUGAGCAAAGUCUAGAGUCGGUGGGGACGGGUGCCUGAGUGAUGAGCAAGAUGUGCCUUGGGAGGGGGUGGUGGCAUUUGCACAGCGGAUCCAUCAGCAGCCUGGUUCAUUGUCAUUCCACGCAUGUGUUCACGAUGAGAACCAACGCUUCAAUCCCCAUACUCAAAACUUAGCACUGCACUUAAAUCUGAUUUGGCCGUGGCUCCCAGCAAGGACCUGUGAUCUUGUACCGAUGAUAACGUGAUUUACCAGUGUCCCUGGAAUUCAUAGGGCCAAAUUCUGAUUAUCCACCGUGGGGAUGCAGGGACAUACCCAUAAAAGAAAUGCAUUUUUCCAAAAAAGAUGUAUGCUUUCUAAAAUGACCUCAUAAAUCCUCAAUUAGAAUACAAAAAAUGUUAAGAGUGCCAAGAAGGGAAAACAGAAGUGUGUGUUUUUUGCUCUUCCAUGUUGCCUAAUGAAGGUCUUAGCUAUGGUUAAUAAGAAAUCCUAAAAAAGAAUACCAUUUACUUCCCUAUUUUGUGACUCUUUUUCAUAGAUUUUCUCUCCAAUCAUUCACAUAUACAAUGAAACUUACAGAAUGUCCGGGUCCCUGUCCUAGUCUGCCUGGGCUGACUACCGCAGACCAGGGGCUAAAACAACAGGAAGUUAUCUCUCACGGCUCUGGAUGCUGGAGGUCUGAGAUCAAGGUGGCAGCUGUAUUGACCUCUGCUGAGACCUCUCGCCUCAGCUUGUGGUUAUAGCUGUCUUCUCUCUGUGUCCUCACUUGCUCUCUUCCCAUUGGCUCACAUCUUCCUCGUGUCAUGAGGGCACCAGCCCCAUUGGAUCAGGGCCCCAUCCUUGUGACCUCGUUUAAUCCCAGUUAACCCUUUAAAGCCCCCCCCCCCAAAUAGUCACAUUCUGAGGUACCAGGAAUUGGGGCUUCAAUAUGUGGACUCACAAGUCAGCCUCUAAGUGACAAAGGAGCUUAGAAGCAAGCUGGUCCUCUGUGGUCCUUUUAUACAGAAGAAGGUGCAUUCUGAGUGUUAGGCAGGCUGGACGAGUCUAUGGCAACAAAGCAAGAGGUUGCAGGGCUUCGGCUGCAAGGUUUUUUUCUUGCUCCUGUGAGCUGGCGGGUGAGGGUCCAUGGAAGCCGCUGACCCAAGUCCCUCAAUGUCCAGGUGGGUGGGGUCUCUGAAGCUUGUGUCUGCACCUUCUGGAAUGAGAGGCACCAGGUGGCAGAAGCAAGGGAAAGAGCACAUGUCACUGGAGGUGACACCUGCCCCUUCUGGCUGUCGCCCACUGGCCAGAACUGGUCCCAUGUCUCCUGAAUCCAAAGACGUGGGAAGGUGGGGGGCCACACAGGAACCCUUCUGCUACGACUUUGUCCAGAUCUUUGCUUUGUGUGGUGAUGAGCCACAUGUCACACUUUACUCUGCCGGGAGGAUCACACGUGCAUAAAACUUAACACCUUCACUUUUGUGUGAAAACCUCCCAAAUGUGUGCUAAUGUGCUCUUCUCCUUCUCCUCCUCCUCCUCCUCUUCUUUUUGCAGCCGAACCUGCAUCUUGUGGAAGUUCCCAGGCUACGGGUCGAAUUGGAGCUGCAGCUGUGGCCUACAUGGCAACUUGCAGCAAUGCCAGAUCCUUAAACCCACUGACUGAAGCCAGGGAUCAAACCUGCAUCCUCAUGGAUACUAGUUAGGUUUUUAACCCACUGAGCCUCAACAGAACUCCAUCCUAAUAGGUUUUAUCCUCAUUUUUUCCCCAAAAAGCCUGGCUGGAAGGCUCCUGGGUAGACACCCAGGGGUGUAAUGAUAAAUAAGGCAUGAUCCGUGCCUUCAAGGCCCUUUAAUUCUAGAGGUAGAAAACAGUUGAGGAGUUCCCUGGUGACCUAGUGAUGAAAGGAUCUGGCAUUGGCACUGCUGUGGCAUGGGUUCCAUCUCUGGCCCCGGAACUUCUGCAUACCUUGGGUACAGACAGAAAAAAAGGAAAACAACUGAGAAAGCAGAGUGAGAUAAGAGCUUUCAGAUGAAGGUGGAAGGGAGGAGGGAGCUGCAAAUGCCUUUCCAGGAAAAACGUAUGGAAAGAUGCCCAAGACUUGUGAGCUAGGCGAGAGAACCCACUCCCAGUGUGUGUGUGUGUGCGUGUGCGCGUGCGCGUGCGUGUGUGUGUGUGUGUGUGUGUGUGUGUGUGUGUCCACAAGUGCUCCUUGCAGCAUCUCCUGUGAGCCUGUGAGCUGAGGGCUGUGACGCGGGGCCUCCUUCCUUUGUCCCUGCAAUCCUCUCUGCCUCUGCCUCCCCUUCCCACCCGGUCUACCUGUGGGGUCAUUGCUGGGCUCUGCGUCCCCUGGCUCUGGCUGAGUCCAGCCAGUGGGGAAAGGGUCCCUGGCAGAGGUCAGACAGAGGGAGGGACAGAGAUCUGGGCCUUCUCCCCGGGGUGGUGGGGGGUGGGGGGUGGCAGGUGUCUGCCUCCUACGCUGGGACCCCACCUCCUCUCACCUGUCCUCCAGGCACCUUCUCCUGAGUUCCUGUCCCCGUGCCCUCCUCCCAUUCCUCCAGGCCCGGAGGGGAAACAGCCGGAAAUGGAUGCUGGUAGUUGCUGGAGGGCUUUUAGCAAAGCACCAGAUCACAGGGGGGAGGGGCCAGAUCACAGUAGGGAGGGUGGGCUCUCCAGUGAGUCCCUCGGAGGCUGUGACAACCCUCCCUUGUACACCACUGUGUAAAGUUAGAAUUAAUCAGUCCCACAUCCAUCUCUGCCCUCAAGCCAUCCUCUCCUCUCCUCCACAGGGUUUAAAAACCACUUGCUGGGUUACAUGGAGGCAGAAUCGUGGAAUUGUUUUCUCGGAUGGACCCACAUGCGACUGGAUUCAUCUUUUUUUUUUUUUUUUGCAGUUACAAACUAAACUUCAUUUUAUUUUAUUUUAAUUUUUUAAGUUUUUUUUAUUUUUUCCAUUAUAACUGGUUUACAGUGUUCUGUCAAUUUUCUACGCGCAGCAAGGUGACCCGGUCACACAUACAUAUAUAGAUUCUUUUUUCUCCCAUUAUGAUGCUCCAUCAUAAGUGGCCAGAUGGACUCAUCUUCUUAAAUGAAAAGAGCAUCUGAGAAAACAGCAUCAUUAUGCGAGUCGGUCCUUCCUUUUAACAACCGCUUGGAACGUAAACCACUGUGUUCCUUCCAGCUCUGAAAAUGGAAUUCCAGCUUUCAAAACAGCCAAGGGAGUUAUUUACGUAAUGAACUAAAAACAAAUAAAAAACUCAGCAAGCACCAGGACUCUUCUUAAGGACCCACCUUCCUUGAAGGGCUCUUAUGAGAAUCAGAUGCUCAAAGAACGCAGGGGAAUGCCAGGUCUGGCCAGUGGAGACUCAACGUCGGCUCUUACUUGGGGAGAUGGAGGGUGGGGAGUGGCUGGGGUGUCAGUAAAGCAUCAUGGGACAGGGAACUGCCCUGCGUGGCCGACAGAGGCACAGAGGUGAGGAAGGAGAGGGAGCAGCCAGGGGGGAAAGUGGACCAGGAGCCCAUUCCCGGACCGAGCCACAUUUAAGUAGAGCUGUGGAGGGAGUUCCCGUUGUGGCUCAGUGGUUAACGAAUCUGACUAGGAACCAUGAGGUUGCAGGUUUGAUCCCUGGCCUUGCUCAGUGGGUUAAGGAUCUGGUGUUGCUGUAGACCCAUAACCUGGGAACCUCCAUAUGCCUUGAGAGUGGCCCUAAAAGAGGCAAAAAAAAAAAAAA